GAGGACUGUGUCACUCCAGACCGGGGAGUGUGAGUCUUUAUCUGGGUUCUGUUUCCUCCGUGGGGCACCAGGUCCUGGGCAAGAGAACUUGGCAGGCUCUCCCCAUGGCGGUCUUAUUCCUCCUUCUGUUCCUAUGUGGCCCCCCGCAGGCUGCUGCAGACAAUAUCCAGACCAUCUAUGUAGCCUUGGGGGAGGCAAUGGAGCUGCCAUGUCCCGCACCACCCACUCUGAGUGGAGACGAACUCCUGUCCUGGUUCCGCAGCCCUGCAGCAGGCUCCUCCACUGCCCUGGUGGCCCAAGUCCAAGUGGCCAGGCUUGGGAGGGGGCCUUCCCCAGAGCCUGGGAAGUCUGUAAGGGCAUCCAGGCUCAAACUGCUGGGGAACUACUCUUUGUGGCUGGAAAAGUCCAAAGAGGGAGACGCCGGUCGGUACUGGUGUGUUGUUCUGGGUCAGCACCACAAGUACCAGAACUGGAGGGUGUAUGAUGUCUCCGUGCUCAGAGGAUCCCAGCUAUCCGCGAGGGCUGCGGAUGGAUCCCCCUGCUCCGUCCUUUUAUGCUCUGUGGCCCCUGCCAGACGCCUAGACUCUGUGACCUGGCUAGAGGGAAGGGGUCCUGUGAGGGGCCAUGUACAGUCAUUUUGGGGCGAUGGGGCUGCCCUGCUCUUGGUGUGUCCUGGGGAACAGCUCUCUGAGUCCAGGGAACACAGACCAAGAAUCAUCAGCUGCCUCAUGCCUCAUAACAAAGGGGUCAGCUUUAGCCUGGCAGCCUCCAUGGAUGCCUCCCCUGCCCUCUGUGCCCCUGCCACGGGCUGGGAUGUAUCCUGGAUCCUGAUGCUGUUGCUUGCAGCAGGUCAAGGGUUCACCAUCCUGGCCCUCAGCAUCAUGCUCUGGAGACAGAGGGUCCAGAGGGCUCAGUGCAGAGAUGCCUCGAUUCCUCAUUUCAAACCUGAAAUCCAGGUCUAUGAGAACAUCCAUGUGGCCCGUCUCAGCCCACCUGCCCACAAGAUCAGAUGAUCUCGAUGACAUCUGCUGGGAAGUGUGACCUGCUGUCUCUCCAGCCAUCUGGCACCUGAAAGAUUCGCCUGAAAACCCUGCACUUCAUUGUGGCAUCCGGAGUGGCAGAGGCUUAUCAACAUCCUGACAUCCUGGGAGGUCCAAGAGUCCCAUGGUAUCUCCCUGGGGAGAGGGAGUGUCCGCAAGGGUGGGCGGGUGGAUUCGCUGGUGGGGUGUGUAAUUGGGCCCUGUGUGCUGGGCUGUCAGUGAACCCUGGACAAGUCUGGGCUGGCCAAGCAGGGAAGGGCAUUGGUGUUCCCAACUGGUCCACUCCCCGGUCUCAGGCAGAAAGGAGCUGGACUCCCAGCCACAUCCUUUUGUGUGCUCAAGCUUGGACCUCAGUGGAGAAAAGCUUUCACAGGAGUGUCACCAAAAGCCUUCAUGAUACAGCAGCUUAAGCUGACCUGUUAGCAAGGAGGAGGAUGGGAAUGACACAGAUGGAGAGUGAGGUGAAAGUUAGGGUUCUAGUCCAAGCACCCCAACCAAACCCACCAAGCAGCUAUAGUUUGCUUUUAGAGAGCACACGCACAUACACACCACACAGAGCAGUGUCCUAGACUCACAAAUAGCACUUUUAUUAAAUUUACUCUUCAUAGUU